rnacentral:rRNA from 1 species
CCGUAGGGGGCAAGCGUUGUCCGGAUUUACUGGGUGUAAAGGGUGCUCAGGUGGAUUUGUUAGUCGGAGGUGAAACUCCGGAGCUUAACUCCGGAACUGCCUCCGAAACAGCAAGUCUUGAGUUUGGUAGAGGAUGAUGGAAUAUCUGGUGUAGCAGUGAAAUGCGUAGAUAUCAGAUAGAACACCAAUGGCGAAGGCAGUCAUCUGGGCCAUAACUGACACUAAAGCACGAAAGCGUGGGAUCAA